AGAGUUUGAUCCUGGCUUAGGAUGAACGCUAGCGAUAGGCCUAACACAUGCAAGUCGAGGGGCAGCACAUGAAGCAGCAAUGCGGAUGGUGGCGACCGGCGCACGGGUGAGUAACGCGUAUGCAACCUACCUACAACAGGGGAAUAACCCGUUGAAAAACGGACUAAUACCCCAUAAAACAGGGAUCCCGCAUGGGAAUAUUUGUUAAAGAUUUAUCGGUUGUAGAUGGGCACGCGUUCCAUUAGCUAGUUGGUGAGGUAACGGCUCACCAAGGCAACGAUGGAUAGGGGAACUGAGAGGUUUAUCCCCCACACUGGUACUGAGACACGGACCAGACUCCUACGGGAGGCAGCAGUGAGGAAUAUUGGUCAAUGGGCGCAAGCCUGAACCGGCCCACGUCGUGUGAAGGAAGACGGCCCUACGGGUUGUAAACUUCUUUUGUAAGGGAAUAAAGUGUAGUACGUGUACUAUUUUGCAUGUACCUUACGAAUAAGGAUCGGCUAACUCCGUGCCAGCAGCAGC
rnacentral:rRNA from 1 species